AAGAGAGCAGGAUGAGUCGACCACCAGCGCUUUGAGCAGUGCUGUCAAUGAGUUUGCUGAGAGCGAGGCCUGAAAGAAGAAGUUCUGAUGGAAGCUGGUCCACUGGAGACGACUGCUGAAUGAGGGAUUCUGUGAAUGAGUGUGUUUGCUGUACGGUCUGUGCGGACCUGUGGUUACUGAGCUUCUCUCUUUGGUUUCCUGCUCACAGACAUUACAGUCGUCUUCAUGUUACUUCGAUAUAACCGUGCAUCACUGCAAGCUGUGCAACAAAAAGAGUGACCGUAAACUGCAGCGUGCAAGACAUAACCUGACUUUCAAAGCAGCAGCAGCACUAGCAGAAUAGGUGGUUUCUGCUGGAGGGGAGAGGUGCUGCUGCAUGUUUUGGUUCUUCACUCUGAAGGUUGGCCAAGCGUAUCUGAGGAAGCCUGGCAUGUGACAGGAAGCUGAGCAGAGGGCUUCUGUUAUGCUUGGAGAGAGGGAUUCUUCAUCCUCCUCACCCUCGAGGAGUGUCAUUCCCAAUCUGAAUGAAUUCCCAAGGCCAGGAAAGGUCAGGAAAGAACAGCCACCCCCUCAUCUACCAAAACCUAAAUGGAGAAAACGGCUCAUCCAGUCCUGCUGGAGGGGAUGACACUGGAUCGCACCAUGUUUGUAUCACUUAUUCUGGCCAAGAAUGACCUGCAAAUUAUUACUGU